UACGUAGGGUGCAAGCGUUGUCCGGAAUUAUUGGGCGUAAAGAGCUCGUAGGCGGUUCGGCAAGUCGGGUGUGAAAACUCCAGGCUCAACCUGGAGACGCCACCCGAUACUGCUGUGACUUGAGUCCGGUAGGGGACCACGGAAUUCCUGGUGUAGCGGUGAAAUGCGCAGAUAUCAGGAGGAACACCGGUGGCGAAGGCGGUGGUCUGGGCCGACACUGACGCUGAGGAGCGAAAGCGUGGGGAGCGAACAGG
rnacentral:rRNA from 1 species